rnacentral:tRNA from 1 species
AUAAACAUUUAUUUGCUUUAUUGAAUCAUAGAAGCGUUUUUUUAAAUAUUUUUUU